rnacentral:rRNA from 1 species
CCUACGGGUGGCUGCAGUGAGGAAUAUUGGUCAAUGGGCGCGAGCCUGAACCAGCCAAGUAGCGUGAAGGAUGACUGCCCUACGGGUUGUAAACUUCUUUUAUAAAGGAAUAAAGUGAGGCACGUGUGCCUUUUUGUAUGUACUUUAUGAAUAAGGAUCGGCUAACUCGGUGCCAGCAGCCGCGGUAAUACGGAGGAUCCCAGCGUUAUCCGGAUUUAUUGGGUUUAAAGGGAGCGUAGAGGGGUUGUUAAGUAAGUUGUGAAAGCUUGGGGCUCAACCGUAAAAUUGCAAUUGAUACUGGCAGUCUUGAGUACAGGAGAGGUAGGCGGAAUUCGUGGUGUAGCGGUGAAAUGCUUAGAUAUCACGAAGAACACCGAUUGCGAAGGCAGCUUACUAAACUGCCACUGACAUUGAGGCUCGAAAGUGUGGGUAUCAAACAGGAUUAGAUACCCGUGUAGUC